rnacentral:RNase_P_RNA from 1 species
UGAGCAGACUGUGCAGCCGCGGAAGCGUUUUAUGCUUACGAGGAAAGUCCGGGCAUCACAGAGCAGGGUAACUGCUAACAGCAGCCGGGGGUGACCCUAGGGCCAGUGCAACAGAAAUGAUACAGCCUCAUGCAGCCUGCGCUGUAUGCGGCAACGGUGGAAAGGUGCGGUAAGAGCGCACCAGAGGGUGCGAGAGCAUCCUGCUGUGUAAACCCUACCCGAUGCAACGCUGAUUGGUGCAGGUGGUCUUAACGUCUGCUCGGCGGAUCAUCUGCAAAGGCGGCUUGAACGGUUCGGCGACGAAUCGGCUAGAUAAAUGGCUGCACCCGUUCCGCUCGGAACGGUCUACGACAGAACCCGGCUUACAGGUCUGGUCACAGC